CGGAGGGUGCAAGCGUUAUCCGGAUUCACUGGGUUUAAAGGGUGCGUAGGAGGGCAGGUAAGUCAGUGGUGAAAUCUCCAAGCUUAACUUGGAAACUGCCGUUGAUACUAUCUGUCUUGAAUAUGGUGGAGGUGAGCGGAAUAUGUCAUGUAGCGGUGAAAUGCUUAGAUAUGACAUAGAACACCGAUUGCGAAGGCAGCUCGCUACACCUAUAUUGACUCUGAGGCACGAAAGCGUGGGGAUCAAACAGGAUUAGAUACCCUGGUAGUCCACGCCCUAAACGAUGGAUACUCGACGUGCGCGAUAUGACUGUGCGCGUCUGAGCGAAAGCAUUAAGUAUCCCACCUGGGAAGUACGACCGCAAGGUUG
rnacentral:rRNA from 1 species